CCUACGGGUGGCAGCAGUGGGGAAUAUUGCACAAUGGGGGAAACCCUGAUGCAGCGACGCCGCGUGAGCGAUGAAGUAUUUCGGUAUGUAAAGCUCUAUCAGCAGGGAAGAAAAUGACGGUACCUGACUAAGACGCCCCGGCUAACUACGUGCCAGCAGCCGCGGUAAUACGUAGGGGGCAAGCGUUAUCCGGAUUUACUGGGUGUAAAGGGAGCGUAGACGGUCCUGCAAGCCAGAUGUGAAAGCCCGGGGCUCAACCCCGGGACUGCAUUUGGAACUGUAAGGCUAGAGUGUCGGAGAGGCAGGCGGAAUUCCUAGUGUAGCGGUGAAAUGCGUAGAUAUUGCGCAGAACUCCGAUUGCGAAGGCAGCAUACCGGCGGCGAUCUGACGCUGAGGCACGAAAGCGUGGGUAUCGAACAGGAUUAGAUACCCCAGUAGUC
rnacentral:rRNA from 1 species